ACGCACGCUGGCGGCGUGCUUAACCCCUGCCAGUCGUACGGUAAGGCCCUUUCGGGGGUACACGAGUGGCGAACGGGUGAGUAACACGUGAGUAACCUGCCCACAACUUUGGGAUAACGCUAGGAAACUGGUGCUAAUACUGGAUAUGUGCUCCUGCUGCAUGGUGGGGGUUGGAAAGCUCCGGCGGUUGUGGAUGGACUCGCGGCCUAUCAGCUUGUUGGUGGGGUAGUGGCCUACCAAGGCGGCGACGGGUAGCCGGCCUGAGAGGGUGACCGGCCACAUUGGGACUGAGAUACGGCCCAGACUCCUACGGGAGGCAGCAGUGGGGAAUAUUGCACAAUGGGCGCAAGCCUGAUGCAGCAACGCCGCGUGCGGGAUGACGGCCUUCGGGUUGUAAACCGCUUUCAGCAGGGACGAAGCUUUUUGUGACGGUACCUGCAGAAGAAGCACCGGCUAACUACGUG
rnacentral:rRNA from 1 species